AGUCUAAGUCACAUUCUUAUAUUGGUUAUUUUAGGAAAAAAACACAAUGCAGUGUUUGAAUCCAAUGGCUUCAUAUUGCAAUGCUUUAGCUGUAGUAUUGGCUGACAUUUCAGGUUAUCAAGUUUAGAUAUUUUAGUCAGCAUUAUCUUAGCUUCCUUCUCUUCAUUUAAUAAAUUAAAGCAUCGUCCUGCCAUCUCUCCAUGUUUAGAAUAAUCAUGAUAUUUAAAAAAAAUAGUAUGUUUAGGUUUGUUAAUAAAAGACAAAAUGGAAAGGUCAAUGCAGGGAUGACAUACAUUCUAAUGUGCCUUUGUAUAGAGUCCUAACCCCUGCUUUUCUGCCUGGGUGGCUUAUCCAUAUGUCCACCUCUUAAUUGUCACACCAAAGCCGUCUUUGUCUUUCUUUCAUUGUC